rnacentral:rRNA from 1 species
AACGUAGGUGGGCAAGCGUUAUCCGGAAUUACUGGGCGUAAAGGGUGUGCAGGCGGGAGUGCAAGUGGUGUAUGAAAAACGUCCGGCUUAACCGGGCGCUGUUAUGCCAGACUGCAGUUCUAGAGGACGAGAGAGGGGCGUUGGAAUUCCGGGUGUAGUGGUGAAAUGCGUAGAGAUCCGGAGGAACCCCAGAGGCGAAGGCGACGCCCUGGCUGUACCUGACGCUCAGCCACGAAAGCAUGGGGAAGCGAACGGGG